AUUGAACGCUGGCGGCAGGCCUAACACAUGCAAGUCGAGCGAGUGGCGGACGGGUGAGUAAUGUAUGGGGAUCUGCCCGAUAGAGGGGGAUAACUACUGGAAACGGUGGCUAAUACCGCAUACUAUCGGAUGAACCCAGAUGGGAUUAGCUAGUGGGUGGGGUAACGGCUCACCUAGGCGACGAUCCCUAGCUGGUCUGAGAGGAUGAUAAGGCACACUGGAACGGAGAAACGGCCCAGACUCCUACGGGAGGGAGCAGUGGGGAAUAUUGAACAAUGGGCGCAAGACUGAUGCAGCCAUGCGGCGUGUAUGAAGAAGGCCUUAGGGUUGUAAAGUACUUUCAGCGGGGAGGCGUUACCCGCAGAAGAAGCACCGGCUAACGCCGUGCCAGCAGCCGCGGUAAUUC
rnacentral:rRNA from 1 species